GGGUAGAUUUAGAUCUGGUAUCUUGCAUGUGGGGUUAAAGGGUUUAACCCGAUUUAUUCUUUGCUGUAUGUUUUUAAAAUUUUAAAACUACACAUGCUGCCUACCCUAUUUUCUAUCAAAAUAGACCUUGAUUAUGGCUCAGUAGUUGGACCUGAACCAUUAGGUUGGUCAAAUCAAAACUAGUUAACUAAUUGAUGUCCAAGGUAAGUUUGGCAUUUUGAUCAGUGGUUUUUAAUUGGGAGCGGCUUACCUGACCAUUUCAAUGGUGUCUAAGGCAAGCUUAGUAGACCCUCCCACUGACCUCACUUACCUAGCCA
rnacentral:lncRNA from 1 species